UUCAUCGAAACUAAACUUUUAAGUUUAUACUACACGCACUUGUGGCCCUCAUAGGGUACACCUCGGACAAAGAACAUCGCAGCACAUUUGUUCCCUCUACGUGAUCACUACGGCUUGGCGCGCGAAAUUUGAAAUCGAUUAACAGGAGUUAGUGACGGCCAACGAAUUGUCGCUAACGCCGCGAUCACGGUUGCUAUGCCUUUGGAAUUCACUCGAAUCUACGAUUUUCGAACUUGAUUUUUUUUUGAAAUUGCUACAUUCUGUUUGGAUGUAUUGAAGCGCACUUCCCGCAGACAGCAUAAACACGGAGGUGCCAAUUUUGUCGUCGAGGGUGGAACAGGCAAGUGCUUCCUGUCUCGUUGACAUCGACUUUAUUUCGUUUCAGACAUCCAUCCUCGCUUAUGAACACCGCUGUUCCCUUCCUGGGUCCGGAAAGUGGACAAAUGGGUUCAGGGGCGAGAUCGUAAUCAUCAGAAAGUACUCGUUCACUAUGAUUCGGAACGAAUACGCGACGGAGAAGCCAAAGGCCAACGAAGAAGUGUUUACUCCGCAGGGAAGUUAGCGCCCGCGCACCUUAAAUCGAACUAGCACCUGGUUAUCGCGUCUUCCCCAAAUCAGCCAUAAGCAAAUUUGCACUGAAAAUCAUGUUUGCAUUGGUAAUUGUACUGCUUGCAUGGAUAGCUAACUCGAAUGGCAAACGUCGCUCACAUGUCGGCCAAAUGCCGAGUUGAAGUCGGUGACCCUGUGCGUAUACAAUGGCUGCCACAAAGCGAAGGUCAACCCGACCUACAAAACCCACUCAUUUGGGGCUAAUCACGACAUCCCUGACGGUUCCCGUGAAGCAAGAAUUCAAGCAUUAGGCACUGGAUUGUACCAGCUAAGGACGAUGGGAGCUAGGCUUGCACGAGUUUCUCCGAAGACUUCGAACGAAAGCGGAAAAGGGGUGGAAGAACAGCCAAAUACGCUCAGGCUAACCAAAAGCUAAUAGAUAGGUACCAAAUGGCAACACUGGUAUUGCAGGCCGGACACUAAUAAGACGCUGAUGAUAUAAAGAAAGGAAACUUUUUUACUCAAAGAUCUCGAUGGAAGUACGUAUUGACAUGCGGUCAACUGGUGAAGGAAUUGUUCCGGCGACCUUAUGUGCGGUCGUGAUCAUGGCUGCAACAUAUGUAUUCGUGAUAUGAAGGAAACCAAAAAUGGAGUUGUCGAUAGACCAAAAAAGGAGAGUAGAUCUACUUCUCAAGACACAGCUAUUUCCCAUAGCGAUAACCGGUCAAACAGAUGUCAGAAAAAAGGU